rnacentral:rRNA from 1 species
AUGAAGCCGGAGCUUGCUUUGGUGGAUUAGUGGCGAACGGGUGAGUAACACGUGAGUAACCUGCCCCCGACUCUGGGAUAAGCCCGGGAAACUGGGUCUAAUACCGGAUAUGACCAUGGAACGCAUGUUUUGUGGUGGAAAGAUUUAUCGGUGGGGGAUGGACUCGCGGCCUAUCAGCUUGUUGGUGAGGUAAUGGCUCACCAAGGCGACGACGGGUAGCCGGCCUGAGAGGGUGACCGGCCACACUGGGACUGAGACACGGCCCAGACUCCUACGGGAGGCAGCAGUGGGGAAUAUUGCACAAUGGGCGAAAGCCUGAUGCAGCGACGCCGCGUGAGGGAUGACGGCCUUCGGGUUGUAAACCUCUUUCAGUAGGGAAGAAGCGAAAGUGACGGUACCUGCAGAAGAAGCGCCGGCUAACUACGUGCCAGCAGCCGCGGUAAUACGUAGGGCGCAAGCGUUAUCCGGAUUUAUUGGGCGUAAAGAGCUCGUAGGCGGUUUGUCGCGUCUGCCGUGAAAGUCCGAGGCUCAACCUCGGAUCUGCGGUGGGUACGGGCAGGCUAGAGUGAUGUAGGGGAGACUGGAAUUCCUGGUGUAGCGGUGAAAUGCGCAGAUAUCAGGAGGAACACCGAUGGCGAAGGCAGGUCUCUGGGCAUUUACUGACGCUGAGGAGCGAAAGCAUGGGGAGCGAACAGGAUUAGAUACCCUGGUAGUCCAUGCCGUAAACGUUGGGCACUAGGUGUGGGGGACAUUCCACGUUUUCCGCGCCGUAG